GCAGCGCCUCCUGCCGGCCGGGAGGCCCACGACCGUCGCGCGCGCAUCUGGCUGCCUUUGAACUCUUUACUAUGGUUGGUUCCAGGACUCUGCAUCUGCCGAUCCUCGCGACACUCGAUGCGAAAGACCGAAUGCCAGCACUCACACACGAAUAACUAAAAUCCCAGGAGAUCCAGUGCCCUCUCGAUUGCAUGGGAUAUCAAGCAGUCACGCAGUGCACACGAAACAUUCAGAAGAGCACCAAUGCUGUGACUGACGGUGGAGGCACAUGGUGAGUGACAGCAGGUUCUCCUGGCACACCACGUUCAAACCCGCACAACCUUUCUAAGGCCGAGUUGAACUGGAUACCUGACUUAAUCAAGAUGUGCAAGAUGAGGGCUGGAGAGAUGGCUCAGAGGUUAAGAGCACCGACUGCUCUUCCAGAGGUCCUGAGUUCAAUUCCCAGCACCUACAUGGUGGCUCCCAACCAUCUGUAAUGAGAUCUGGCGCCCUCUACUGUAUACAUAAUAAAUCUUAAAAAAUGUGGA